rnacentral:misc_RNA from 1 species
ACUAAGCGUGAACUAAAAAUUAAAAUACUUGAGCAGCAUUCGAAUGUGCUGCAAAGAAACAAGUUAUUAUCAAAUUAACAAUUAAUGUAAUAUAUCAAAAAACGGUGGCAGUGGCAGAUGGCAGAUGACAAAAUGCGGCUGAAUUCGUAUCGCGAAACUGGUCACAUUGCACGACGACAAAUGGACUCAAUUGGAUUGCUACGAUGAUGGAUGAAGAGUACUGGCAGGUACUGCUGCUCGCCAGUAGCAGUGUCUUAAGCAGGUUAAGCGGUACA